rnacentral:lncRNA from 1 species
GCCAGGCGGAGGGAGGGAGGGAGGGAGAGAGGGAGGGGAGAGGAUGGAGGAACAGGUUGUACCGCGAGCGCUGAAACUCCAAGGGCAACCAGAUGAGAAUAGCUCUGGAUUUCGGUUCACCUGGGAACCUGCGGAACGGAGAGUGGACUCAAGGGAAAUGAACUGCCUUGGGUUGGAGGGAAGAGGCUUUGAGCUAAGACUCCUGGAGCAGCGUCUCUCUUCCCAUCUUCCUACAAAUCCACCAAAAGAAACCAUUAACAGGGACGGAAGGAGAGAGAAAAGGAUCCCAGGAGAGCUGUUCCUGCUUGGUGAAGCUCAGAGCUGGCAGCAGCAGCAGGAGCUCUUGGGGGGCAACUCCCUGAAGAAUAAGAGCACAGCAGAAACACUCGUGGAAAGGCACACAAGCCAGCCUCCUUUAAUGUGGUGUCAGAUCAGCAUCAUGGUCUGA